CUACGGGGUGCUCCAGUGAGGAAUAUUGCACAAUGGGGGGAACACUGAUGCAGCAACGCCGCGUGGAGGAUGACGCAUUUCGGUGUGUAAACUCCUUUUAUAUGUCAAGAAAAUGACGGUAGCAUAUGAAUAAGCACCGGCUAACUCCGUGCCAGCAGCCGCGGUAAUACGGAGGGUGCAAGCGUUACUCGGAAUCACUGGGCGUAAAGGACGCGUAGGCGGGUUGGAAAGUCAGGUGUGAAAUCUUACAGCUUAACUGUAGAACUGCACUUGAAACUUCUAAUCUAGAGUAUGGGAGGGGGAGAUGGAAUUAGUGGUGUAGGGGUAAAGUCCGUAGAUAUCACUAGGAAUACCUAAAGCGAAGGCGAUCUCCUGGAACAUUACUGACGCUAAGGCGUGAAAGCGUGGGGAGCAAACAGGAUUAGAUACCCUCGUAGUC
rnacentral:rRNA from 1 species